UUGUGCUAGGCGGGGAGUUAGCGGUGCCCUCAUCCCGAAAUCCGCUUCAUGCGGGGCUGAAUCCCCCCUCGAGGACCGACCCCGGGUCGCCCGGGUCGCACUGGCCGGUCGCCGCGCAACAGACGGUUACGAACCUCGUCAGGUCCGGAAGGAAGCAGCGAUAAGUAAUGCGGUCUGUGUCGCGGAUCGAUCCCGGCCAUGCUUGCGCCCACCGCCACUCGGAAACGGUUCGGAAGGGGGUGCACAA
rnacentral:SRP_RNA from 2 species